UGAGGAAUAUUGGUCAAUGGGCGAGAGCCUGAACCAGCCAAGUAGCGUGCAGGAUGACGGCCCUAUGGGUUGUAAACUGCUUUUAUAGGGGAAUAAAGUGAGCUACGUGUAGUUUAUUGCAUGUACCCUAUGAAUAAGGACCGGCUAAUUCCGUGCCAGCAGCCGCGGUAAUACGGAAGGUUCGGGCGUUAUCCGGAUUUAUUGGGUUUAAAGGGAGCGUAGGCCGUGGAUUAAGCGUGUUGUGAAAUGUAGAUGCUCAACAUCUGACUUGCAGCGCGAACUGGUUUACUAGAGUGUGCACAACGUAGGCGGAAUUCGUCGUGUAGCGGUGAAAUGCUUAGAUAUGACGAAGAACUCCGAUUGCGAAGGCAGCUUACGGGAGCACAACUGACGCUGAAGCUCGAAGGUGCGGGUAUCAAUAGGAUUAGAUACCCUGGUAGUCCGCACAGUAAACGAUGGAUGCCCGCUGUUGGUCCAUUAGGGUCAGCGGCCAAGCGAAAGCAUUAAGCAUCCCACCUGGGGAGUACGCCGGCNCGGU
rnacentral:rRNA from 1 species